rnacentral:rRNA from 1 species
AAUGAACGCUGGCGGCAGGCCUAACACAUGCAAGUCGAACGGAUCCUUCGGGAUUAGUGGCGGACGGGUGAGUAACGCGUGGGAACAUACCCAAAGGUACGGAAUAGCCUCGGGAAACUGGGAGUAAUACCGUAUGUGCUCGAAAGAGGAAAGGUUUAUCGCCUUUGGAUUGGCCCGCGUUGGAUUAGGUAGUUGGUGGGGUAAUGGCCUACCAAGCCGACGAUCCAUAGCUGGUUUGAGAGGAUGAUCAGCCACACUGGGACUGAGACACGGCCCAGACUCCUACGGGAGGCAGCAGUGGGGAAUCUUAGGCAAUGGGGGAAACCCUGAUCUAGCCAUGCCGCGUGAUCGAUGAAGGCCUUAGGGUUGUAAAGAUCUUUCAGGUGGGAAGAUAAUGACUGUACCACCAGAAGAAGCCCCGGCUAACUCCGUGCCAGCAGCCGCGGUAA